rnacentral:lncRNA from 1 species
CUUACCUGAAUGGGCUGCCUGCUUGGAAAUGCCACUUUAAUGUGCCAGAUUUAGGGCCUGCAAGUGCAUUGUUCCACGGUGCAAAAGACCAUUUUGUUGUCUCCUGUAGAAGAGAAUACUGAGACCAUUGCUGCUCUGUCCUACAGAAGUCUGCUAAGAGGUCUUGAGUUGCUCCAGCCACAGAGAAUAGCCAGCAACCCCACUGCUAAGUCUCUUUAUUCCACGUAGGCUCUCAGUUUAUGAGUUUUUAACACAGAUAGUGAAAAUCAGGACUAACAGCUUAAAAUGAAUCUUGGUAGCCCAGUGACAGCUGUUUAUUUUUUGUGGGGGGAGGCUUGUUAAGCUGGGAUUGAAAGCAGCUGCUGUGAGACAAUGAUCAAGUGCAUCUUGUUUAACUGGGGAAUAUACAGCACUGUGAACCAAGCCCCUUCUUACUGGAGUGGUGAGAAUUCAUCCAUUGAAUAGCAUUCUGCUCAAAAGAAAUAGCUGUUGUUUUGGGAAGAAUUAAUUGGAAGUGUACAACAGCAAACACCUAAAAAUCAGAGAAAUCUGAUUGGAAUGAUGAGAGACAUUAGAUCACCUGGAGCUGAAGUUAAGUUUAUUUUCCCUGUUGGGAGGAACUUACCAUCCCUUGGAUAUGAUGGAAUUAAAUUCUUAUUUCACCUGCUUCUUGAAGUGGAAGUUUUGGAAGCCAUACAAAAGAAAAAGGAGUGGAACUGUCUGAGGCUUUGAAAUCCCCUUGUCACAAGUGCUGCAGGAGCCACGAUAAGAUGUUUUUCCUGAUGUAACUUCCAUUUUUCAUACCUUACUGUCUUAAAAACAGCAGGAGAAAAAAAAAGCAAAACAAAUUGUCAAAUUGUCACGCAACAAGACAAUUGUCUAACCUAUCACUCUAAAAAGUGAAGCAUGUGACUUUUCUUACAAACCAAGGGGCAGCAUCACUCCUAUAUUAAUUUUUUCCGUUCUUUGUGCAUAUGUUUCUAGUGUUGUGGCAGUAAAUCUUUGCUUAAACAUGCAUAUUCUUGAUUACAGUAAACAUUUCUAAGUGAGAUUCUGCCACUGGCUGGCUAUUAUAGGGUUUAUGCUUGUCAUUUCCUGACUUCAAGAGCUAGGUAACAUAAAUAGCAUUUACCUUUUUUUACCUUAAGAGCUUUUUGGAAAUCUGAAAUUUUGUUUUUCCUUUUUGGACUGUCUCUAGAAUUCUAACUUUUUUAAAAAAAAAUAGGUGUAAAUCUUGUUGAAUUUUUUGUGGGACAAAACUUCUCAAUAUGUUCUCCUGUCAAUGAACAUUUUUUCUUCCAGAUUUUCUGCUCUUUAGGUUCCUGUGGAUCAGUUGCACAUUUUUUUAGUAAGUUCUUCUGUAAAAAAAAACCAACAAAAUUAUGUAAUAUUUUAAAAGUUUUUCUUUCUUUUUAGUUUUCUGUGUGAAGAUCAUUUGUCAAGAUUUCCUAAUCAAUGUGGUUAGUGUAUACCAGUUAUAGAACUGGAGUGGCUAGACCCAUGCAAAGCCACCCAGGAUGACACUGGUUUGAGAGGGGCAUCCUGUGAUUGCUCUGAUGUUGUAAGAACCACUUGUUCAAAACAUAGUCAUGGCAUGGUGCUCAUUCAGCUGAAUGAGAUGUUUCGAUGACUCUGGUUCUAGUCAGAAGCAGACUACAUGGUAAAUGUACUUCCAGAGGCAGAUCUGCAGAUCUGGGGUUCCCUGUGGGAUUUCGUCUUCAAGGUGGAUCAUUAUGGCAGUUCAAUUCCUACAGUGAAAAUUCUGAUCUUGUCUAAAAGUUUUGGAACUGCUAAUCAGACAGGGAUGAGGCAGUAAGAGCUGCUCCUGGUUAAACACUGCUGUCUUGCCACUGAAGCUGACAAUACACGUUUUUCUCCCCAGGAGUAUGACUGGAUUGCAGGCUUUUGAAGCAAACUACAAAGUGGUCCAAAUUUCCUCUCAAUGAAUUUCUACUAAGAUUUUCAUUUCAAACAACCAAAAGAAUAUAGAACAUACACUAAUAAGGCCAUGUGGUAUGACCUUGCCCAUGGAGAGCAGCUGACUGCUGCUGUCCAGGAAGUUUUACUUGAACAGCAAGCCUUUGAACAUCAGAGAUGCUGAGCUGUAGAAUAACAGAGCCUCUCCAAAAUCUGUGAGAUCUUUUGUGUACUGAAUACUGAAGUAGACUGCAGCAGUAGUAGUGCUGUUUUAUAUAAAUGUUAAAGCUACAUAUGUUGCUAAAUAAAAACUACUCAUAGGUUUAUAAACA